rnacentral:rRNA from 2 species
CGCCGCGUGAGUGAUGAAGGCUUUCGGGUCGUAAAACUCUGUUGUUAGGGAAGAACAAGUACGAGAGUAACUGCUCGUACCUUGACGGUACCUAACCAGAAAGCCACGGCUAACUACGUGCCAGCAGCCGCGGUAAUACGUAGGUGGCAAGCGUUAUCCGGAAUUAUUGGGCGUAAAGCGCGCGCAGGCGGUUUCUUAAGUCUGAUGUGAAAGCCCACGGCUCAACCGUGGAGGGUCAUUGGAAACUGGGGAACUUGAGUGCAGAAGAGAAAAGCGGAAUUCCACGUGUAGCGGUGAAAUGCGUAGAGAUGUGGAGGAACACCAGUGGCGAAGGCGGCUUUUUGGUCUGUAACUGACGCUGAGGCGCGAAAGCGUGGGGAGCAAACAGGAUUAGAUACCCUGGUAGUCCACGCCGUAAACGAUGAGUGCUAAGUGUUAGAGGGUUUCCGCCCUUUAGUGCUGCAGCUAACGCAUUAAGCA